GCAAUGCCGCGUGCAGGAUGAAGGCCUUCGGGUUGUAAACUGCUUUUGUACGGAACGAAACGGCGAGCUCUAAUACAGUUUGCUAAUGACGGUACCGUAAGAAUAAGCACCGGCUAACUACGUGCCAGCAGCCGCGGUAAUACGUAGGGUGCGAGCGUUAAUCGGAAUUACUGGGCGUAAAGCGUGCGCAGGCGGUGAUGUAAGACAGAUGUGAAAUCCCCGGGCUCAACCUGGGACCUGCAUUUGUGACUGCAUCGCUAGAGUACGGUAGAGGGGGAUGGAAUUCCGCGUGUAGCAGUGAAAUGCGUAGAUAUGCGGAGGAACACCGAUGGCGAAGGCAAUCCCCUGGACCUGUACUGACGCUCAUGCACGAAAGCGUGGGGAGCAAACAGGAUUAGAUACCCUGGUAGUCCACGCCCUAAACGAUGUCAACUGGUUGUUGGGUCUUCACUGACUCACUAACGAAGCU
rnacentral:rRNA from 1 species